GACAGAGGGUGCAAACGUUGCUCGGAAUUACUGGGCGUAAAGGGCGUGUAGGCGGGCAGGUAAGUCGGGCGUGAAAUCCCUGGGCUCAACCCAGGAACUGCACUCGAAACUACUUGUCUUGAGUACCGGAGAGGAAAGCGGAAUUCCUGGUGUAGAGGUGAAAUUCGUAGAUAUCAGGAGGAACACCAGUGGCGAAGGCGGCUUUCUGGACGGUAACUGACGCUGAGACGCGAAAGCGUGGGGAGCAAACGGG
rnacentral:rRNA from 1 species